rnacentral:misc_RNA from 1 species
AUCAUGUAUGCUAUGGUAUGCACCUGACCUGAAUUUUACAUGUAGUUAGUGUUGUGAGUAGAUACAUAGCGUGUCCUAGGAAAAAGCAUUGGCAGGCAGUGAAAUGAAUUUUGAGGUAUUUAAAGGGUACUACAGAUGUUGGUCUGACAUUUGACAAGGCCAAGAUGAGUGAUUCAAUUGUUGGCUAUGUGGAUUCAGAUUUUGCAGGGGACUUAAACAAGAGGAGAUCUUUAACAGGUU